AACGAACGCUGGCGGCAUGCCUAACACAUGCAAGUCGAACGAGACCGUCGGGUUUAGGGGCGCACGGGUGCGUAAGGCGUGGGAAGCUGCCCUUAGGUUCGGAAUAACUCCCCGAAAGGUGUGCUAAUACCGGUUAAUGUCUUCGGACCAAAGAUUUAUUGCUGUUGGAUGGGCGCGCGUUGGAUUCGCUAGUUGGUAGGGGAAAAGCCUACCAAGGCGAGGUUCCAUAGCUGGUCUGUGAGGAUGACCCGGCAGACUGGAGCUGCGGCACGGCCCAGACUCCGACGGGAGGCAGGGGAGGGGAAUAUUAGACAAUGGAGGAAAGCCUGGUCAAGCAAUGCGGCGUGAGUGAUGAAGGCCUUAGGGUUGUAAAGCUCUUUUACCCGGGAUGAUAAUGACGGUACCGGGUAAAUAAGCACCGGCUAACUACGUG
rnacentral:rRNA from 1 species